rnacentral:rRNA from 1 species
UGAGGAAUCUUGCGCAAUGGGGGAAACCCUGACGCAGCGACGCCGCGUGAGUGAGGAAGGUCUUCGGGUCGUAAAGCUCUGUCAGGCGGGAAGAAAUGGAUGGAGGUGAACAGCCGCCAUGCUUGACGGUACCGCCAGAGGAAGCACCGGCUAACUCCGUGCCAGCAGCCGCGGUAAUACGGGGGGUGCAAGCGUUGUUCGGAAUCAUUGGGCGUAAAGAGCGUGUAGGCGGCUUGGUAAGUCAGAUGUGAAAGCCCUGGGCUCAACCCGGGAAGUGCAUUUGAAACUGCCAGGCUCGAGUAGGGGAGAGGGAAGUGGAAUUCCUGGUGUGGAGGUGAAAUUCGUAGAUAUCAGGGGGAACACCGGUGGCGAAGGCGACUUCCUGGCCCUAUACUGACGCUGAGACGCGAGAGCGUGGGUAGCAAACAG